UACGUAGGUGGCAAGCGUUGUCCGGAUUUACUGGGCGUAAAGAGCGCGCAGGCGGUCGUUCAAGUCGCGUGUGAAAGCCCCCGGCUCAACUGGGGAGGGUCACGCGAUACUGAUCGACUCGAAGGCAGGAGAGGGUAGUGGAAUUCCCGGUGUAGUGGUGAAAUGCGUAGAUAUCUGGAGGAACACCGGUGGCGAAGGCGGCAUCCUGGGACCGGUAUUGACGCUGAGGCGGCGAAA
rnacentral:rRNA from 1 species